UCUAAUUCCUCACCUUGAACCUUCAAUUCUUUUGUAGUUAAUACCUUUUCUUGUUGUGCUCCUGCUGCCUAUGUCUGUUUUGUAGUGUUUGGUGGCUGUUGGUUUAAUCAUGUUAAAGGAUGGAUGACAAAUAAAGAAAAAAUACAACAACAUCCUGAUCCUUCACUUAUGAAGAAAUGAUCAAGGACCUCAGAUCUGUCGUUGUGAAAAUCUGUGAGUUUGUGG